AAGAAACUAAUAGAGGAACGUCUCAUCGAACGUUUCGAUCGAUCGAUUCUCUAUUUUUCUUUCGUCGAUUUUUACGAGAAGAAUGUGUGCACUCCAAGCUCAGUUUAAUACGUCUAUUCGAAACUUUCACUGAGACGAGGGAAAUGGGUGCUCGUUACGAGAGAAAGCUUUAAAAAAUUAACGUGCUGUGGUGCUUUUCUUCUACUCGAUCGAGGAAAAGGAAAAAAUGACGCGUGAAAGAAUCUUUCGCGAAUAUCAAUAAUGAGAAACGCGUGACGAGCACCCUAGAACCUUGAUGGUUGGUUAAGAGGUUCUUCGACCUUUCGCGUACAUGCUUUUGGCAAAAAAAAAAACGCUUCAAGUGGCGAUCGAUGAUCUUCACGAUGCUCAUUGUAACGUGAUAAAAAAUUUUCAGGUAAUAUAAUUGCUUACCGCUUACAAA